CCUACGGGAGGCAGCAGUGGGGAAUUUUGGACAAUGGGCGAAAGCCUGAUCCAGCAAUGCCGCGUGCAGGAUGAAGGCCUUCGGGUUGUAAACUGCUUUUGUACGGAACGAAACGGUUCGCCUUAAUACGGUGGGCUAAUGACGGUACCGUAAGAAUAAGCACCGGCUAACUACGUGCCAGCAGCCGCGGUAAUACGUAGGGUGCGAGCGUUAAUCGGAAUUACUGGGCGUAAAGCGUGCGCAGGCGGUUAUAUAAGACAGAUGUGAAAUCCCCGGGCUCAACCUGGGACCUGCAUUUGUGACUGUAUAGCUAGAGUACGGUAGAGGGGGAUGGAAUUCCGCGUGUAGCAGUGAAAUGCGUAGAUAUGCGGAGGAACACCGAUGGCGAAGGCAAUCCCCUGGACCUGUACUGACGCUCGUGCACGAAAGCGUGGGGAGCAAACAGGAUUAGAUACCCUGGUAGUCCACGCCCUAAACGAUGUCAACUGGUUGUUGGGUCUUCACUGACUCAGUAACGAAGCUAACGCGUGAAGUUGACCGCCUGGGGAGUACGGCCGCAAGGUUGAAACUCAAAGAGUAGUAGACGUGNGAGAGCGACGACGACGACGACGGAGGAGGAGG
rnacentral:rRNA from 1 species